AAUUUCGGGUAAUCGCGGUUUGUUUUAUGCAAACUGAGGAAAGUCCAGGCUUGCACAAACUGAGAUGUUUGUAGUGAUCGUACUUACUGAAAAAAUAAGGUAAGGCAUUUACAUUAUUGUAGAUGACGGCGAACAAAAGAGCUAACGUUUUUAUAAACCAUGCUUGAGUAGUUCUUAAAAGUGCCACAGUGACGAAGCAAUACGGGAAACGGUAUUGAUGGAACGCGGUAAACCCUGCGAGCAGGUAACCCAAACUUUGGUAGGGGCGCUUCAUGACGGAAAUGAACUAAUCAUGGGGGCGAGUUUUACUCGGAGAUAGAUGAUUACCACCGAGACCAGUACCUAGCUGGUUGACGUACGGAACUUGGCUUAUAGAG
rnacentral:RNase_P_RNA from 1 species